GGGGGCCCGCAAGCGGUGGAGCAUGUGGUUUAAUUCGACGCAACGCGAAGAACCUUACCUGGGCUCGAAAUGCUAUGGACCGGGGUGGAAACAUCCCUUCCCCGCAAGGGGCCGUAGUAUAGGUGCUGCAUGGCUGUCGUCAGCUCGUGUCGUGAGAUGCUGGGUUAAGUCCCGCAACGAGCGCAACCCUUACCCCCAGUUGCCACCAUUUAGUUGGGCACUCUGGUGGGACCGCCUCGGAUAACGGGGAGGAAGGUGGGGAUGACGUCAAGUCCUCAUGGCCUUUAUGUCCAGGGCUACACACGUGCUACAAUGGCCGGUACAAACCGUCGCAAACCCGUGAGGGGGAGCUAAUCGGAAAAAGCCGGCCUCAGUUCGGAUUGGAGUCUGCAACUCGACUCCAUGAAGCUGGAAUCGCUAGUAAUCGCGGAUCAGAACGCCGCGGUGAAUACGUUCCCGGGCCUUGUACACACC
rnacentral:rRNA from 1 species